GAAAUCGUUUGGCUAUUUAAAGUCGUCUAGAGUUAGUAUUGAAUGGAGGCAAGCUGAAUUUUUGUCCCUCCUUCUUUGUUUCCUUCUUCGACGGCGACUUGCGUCGACGAGUUCCGGACCAACCCAUGAUCUUUAAAUACCUUUGUUAAAUUCGUAUUAUCGAGACGAAGCUUUGCGUGUCCUUCGAUUCGAGUUUGCUCGAGUUUUAGUGGCGAUUCAAUGAGUUUGCUCGAGGUUUAGUGGCGAUUCAAGGCUCGCCGGAGUUGGGUUCGUCGUCGUCGGAUUCUGGAAAUUUGGCUGGAAAAAAAUGAAUUCCC
rnacentral:lncRNA from 1 species